rnacentral:tRNA from 1 species
AAAGCUUUAAGUUAAUAAAACUAUUAACCUUCAAAGUUAAAAUUAUAUUUAAUAAAUAUAUAAGCUUUA